UACGGAGGGUGCGAGCGUUGUCCGGAAUCACUGGGCGUAAAGGGCGCGUAGGCGGCGCGGGUAGUCAACGGUGAAAGCUUGGGGCUCAACCCCGAGUCGGCCGUCGAUACUCCCGCGCUCGAGCACUGUAGAGGCAGGUGGAAUUCCUGGUGUAGCGGUGAAAUGCGUAGAGAUCAGGAAGAACAUCGGUGGCGAAGGCGCUCUGCUGGACCAUAACUGACACUCAGGGACGAAAGCUAGGGGAGCGAAUGGG
rnacentral:rRNA from 1 species